AUUGAACGCUGGCGGCAUGCUUUACACAUGCAAGUCGAGCGGUAACAGGCCUUCGGGUGCUGACGAGUGGCGAACGGGUGAGUAAUGCAUCGGAACGUACCCAGAGGUGGGGGAUAACGCAGCGAAAGCUGUGCUAAUACCGCAUGUGAUCUGAGGAUGAAAGCGGGGGACCGAGCAGCAAUGUUUGGCCUCGCGCCUUUGGAGCGGCCGAUGUCGGAUUAGCUAGUUGGUGGGGUAAAGGCCUACCAAGGCGACGAUCCGUAGCUGGUCUGAGAGGACGACCAGCCACACUGGGACUGAGACACGGCCCAGACUCCUACGGGAGGCAGCAGUGGGGAAUUUUGGACAAUGGGCGCAAGCCUGAUCCAGCAAUGCCGCGUGCGGGAAGAAGGCCUUCGGGUUGUAAACCACUUUUGGCAGGAACGAAACGGUGUCCGCUAAUACCGGGCGCUAAUGACGGUACCUGCAGAAUAAGCACCGGCUAACUACGUG
rnacentral:rRNA from 1 species